UAACAACAGCAACAACAACCAAAAGAUCACUUUUAGUUUCCAGUUUCACUAAAAUACCUUUUCUGCUCUCUAUGUCCAUCCUGUGCCCUUCAAUAUGUAGUUAAUUAUAUCUUUUGCUACUGAAAGAUGCCACGUUGGUACAGAUUCACAGAAUUGAGUUUUAGAUCAUCUAAAUCUAUCAGACUCCUGGAGAUGCCUGGAUUCUGCAAGUUGUUUAAGAGAGAAUUGCUGUGGUCAACCAACCUCUCCCUAAUCCAAAAGGAUGAGAAAGAAAGAAUAUUCUAGUGAUGCUGCAUGACUGCGAAACAUACAAGCAAAGCCAGAAGAAAUGCACAAGGAAUCAGAUGCCAAGGAGUUCUAAGGGUGAGUCUUAUUCCUGAACCUUUGUUGACCAGCCACUGGGUGAGUUCCAAGUUCCAGUUCAGCAUUUGACUGACCCAAAAAGGACAGGAAACCUGCCACAUGCAGAGGCCUGGCACCUGAAAGACAAGGUCUAUUUCUGUGAAUGGAACCCACCGUGCAUUCUGUAGAGAGGCUUUUCCCAUGCAACUAUCAUCACUUUUCUUGGUAGC
ensembl:lncRNA